UUUUGCGGGGAAAUUGUUAUUUAUACAAUGAUUUUUAUUAAGGUAUUAUGCUCUUCCUAUCGCCAUACAGGUAGAGAAUAUCCCGAGGUUAUAAUGAACGAAAUAUCACGACAGUAAUUUAAGUGCCGGAAAGGUUAAUUAAAGCUAUGCCUCACUUCCGGAAUGGCACCUCGGGGCUUCUAUAGUAACAAUAUCGGCACGUAAGGCAUGCGCAGUGAACAGAUCCGGUUGCAAAUUCUACUUAAGUGUGAAACGAACAAAACGGAUUAUUAUUAUUUUUUUCUUUUUUAAUUAAAAAAAAAAGGGGGGGAAAGAUUUUUCGUAUUAUAUUAUUAGUGUUUAAAGAUUUAUUAAUGUUUUCUUCUUCUUCCUCCUCCUCCUCCUCUUUUCUUUCCAUUUUUGUAUAUUAUUUAUAUAUAAAAGUAUUGUUGCUGUGUUGUGAAAAGCGAAUUCGUUUGUUUCCCGAUAUUGCGUGCGAAUCGUAACACGUGAGACGGAUAAAAGGGAGGGUGGAGGCGUGUUUCGGUUAACUGUCGCUAGGAGGCAUGACGCUGGAGAUGUGUAGAAGGGAUUUUUACAACGCGACUUUACGAUGUGUUUGACGGGUGAUUUUACGAUCUGUUGGUGAACUCCUACAGACGUAAAAAUACUCAAUGGUUGAUGACGUCACGCACUCACGCUCGUUCGGUCCGAAAGCUGUUAACAAAACAACUGCGCUUCCUUGGCAACCAACGUGUAACACGUUACCAUGCCAACUGCACGUUCCCAGCACGUGCGCUGUCGAUUUCAUCUGUUGCCUAUGGUCGUCAUGGUAACGCUACUUCUCGCUUCACUUACUAGAUGGCGUCCACGUCUGUUAAAAAAAAAAA